AUCAUUUAAGACUGAGGAUGAUGAAAAAUAUUUUUAAAGAAACGAAUCCAGUGAAACAAAAUGACAAGGAUUAAGGAUUAAGGAUUAAGGAUUCGUACUUUGUUUUAUCCAUGUCCAAAAAUUCCUCAAAAAUAAUCAUAGUGGUGUAAAAUUCAAGAAUGAUCAAAACAUGGAUACAAUCAAAGCUAGUAUCCACAAUAGAUAUUUU
rnacentral:lncRNA from 1 species